rnacentral:rRNA from 1 species
CUACCGGGGUUUCUAAUCCUGUUCGAUACCCACGCUUUCGAGCAUCAGCGUCAGUAGCGCUACAGUAGGCUGCCUUCGCAAUCGGAGUUCCUCGUGAUAUCUAAGCAUUUCACCGCUACACCACGAAUUCCGCCUACUUUCUGCGCACUCAAGCGCCCCAGUUCGCGCUGCAAGCCGGAUGUUGAGCACCCGGAUUUCACAACACGCUUAAGGCGCGGCCUACGCUCCCUUUAAACCCAAUAAAUCCGGAUAACGCCCGGACCUUCCGUAUUACCGCGGCUGCUGGCAC